UUUACGUUUGAAAUGGCGGGUUCAGUUCACUGGAAUCGGAAACCCUUGUUUAUUUUUUUUCAACUCUCACAGACGAAAUCGCCAUAGAAUUUGAAAUGAACACUGCUUCAGAUUCUCCGUUAUCUUCAUCUUUAUGCUCUUUUCAUUCCUCAAUUCCCAAUUCUUAUCUUCUUGAAAUGCGAUUCCAAGCCAUAACAAUAAACCCUAAUCCGGGUUAGAACUUCCAUUGAAGCCCUCUGAAUCCACUCUCAAUCUCUCCACCAUGAGCAAUUAUAAUCCCUAUAUUCAGCACACUCCUUCCUCAUCCUCGUCUCCUGAACCUGGGAAAAGAGAUAGGAUGUGGGAUGCGCUGGGUCGCUGUGGGAAGAUGUUGGAAGGUUAUGGAAAAAUGGCAGGGGAAGCUGUUGAAAACGUUUGGCAUCACAUAAGAGUUAGUCCUAGCAUUGGUGAUGUUGCAAAGGCCAGGCUUGUUCAAGGGACGAAAUUACUUGCUGAAGGAGGACCUGAAAGAUUAUUCCAGCAUACAUUUGGUGUUAUUCCUGAAGAAAAAUACUUGCAUUCGUAUGCUUGCUAUUUGGCAACUCCCUCUGGGCCUGUGAAUGGGACUCUUUACAUAUCCACAAAAAGACUGGCUUUCUGUAGUGAAUCCCCUCUCUGUUACCCUUCAUCUCCUGGCCAAUCAGAGUGGCUCUAUUACAAGGUUGUGAUAGAGCUGAAUCGGGUGGCAAAUUUACGUCCAUCUCCAAAUCUUCUCAACCCCUCUGAAAAAGACAUCCAUGUGGUUACUAAGGAUGGGCAUGAAUUCUGGUUCCUGGGAUUUAUAUCGUUCAGCAGGGCUCUAAAGAGUUUAACUGAGGCAUUAAAGCGUUCCUGUUCCUAGUUUGUUUCGAUGAACAGAUGGUUUGAGAGUUUCUGCCUCCUCUCUACAUUCCAUGAUGAAGAAGACUCUUGGGGGUGGCGACCAAACACGUGCGAGGGAGAGGGAAGGACACUUUAUGGAAAAAGUCACUAAUUUCUUAUUCAUUUUCCAAUUCUAAGAUUGGUUUGCACAUCCGAAUUGCUAACUAAUAUUUUAGUUCAUCGUCGUAACUAAUUAUUACACUCAUGUAUGGUUAUAUCUGGGCUAUUUUGAAGUAUUGUUCACCUGUCUUGGUAA